UUCCUACAGGGCUAGAUUAUUCGUCACAUUGUUUAGUCUUAAUAAUUUUAGAACUUGCCAAUUUAUCAUUUUCAAUUUAGAUAAAAAUUAGCUUUAUUAAAUUAUUUGAAAUGUUAAACGAAUUGUGAAAUUAAACAAUUUGAAAGAUUAAGCGAUUUUUGAAGGUAAACUAUUUUGAAAUAUUAGGCGACUUGUAAAGAAUCGGCAAACUUGACAAGUCAAAUAAUUCAAAUAGUUUAACUUGAAGUAAUCAUUUUAAAUCCAAAGUGAAAAUAAUAAGUUGGCAAGGCCCAAAACAUUAAAGACCAACCAAUGCGUUGAAAACUCUAAUCUUAUCGGAAGCAUUCAACAAGAAGAAUUUGAUUAUUUAAGAAACGAUUUAGGAAACGUAGUUUUGUAGUUUCUGACCAUUUUUAGCGAUUUAAACCAAAUUUUUAAAUAAUAUAAUCUGUGGUUACUGACUAUCGAGUUUAUUGAAAAAAAAAAGUUAUUAAAAUCAUAAGGAACAUAAUAAGAUUUUGUACAAGAAAUUACUCAAGCACAAUCUAUUAAAAGAUAAAAUUGUAUUGACAGGAGAGAGAGCGCAAUUAAGGAUAGUUUUUAGCCUCCGAAAUUAAACACAAGAUAAAUCACUUACAAAGGAAAAGCGAACAAUUAUGCAAGGAGGAAUAGUUGACUCUCUAAGGACAAACUUGAUCAAUUGAACGUCAAAGAAUGAUGCAAUUUUUAAAGUAGUUGUGGAAAUUUUGAAACAUGUUCCGAGACAGACAAAUUUGAUUGUUGCAAAGAUAUUGGUAAAGCGCUUGAAUCAGAAGCAUGAGACUGGUAGUUCAAAGCCAUCUCUGGGAAAGUUUUGCGAGAUAGGAAUGAGGUGCUCUGUGAUAAAAUUGUAAAGACUUUUUGGGGCACCUAAAAAAUUUAAAAAAUAUAA